CCUACGGGUGGCAGCAGUGAGGAAUAUUGGUCAAUGGACGAGAGUCUGAACCAGCCAAGUAGCGUGAAGGAUGACUGCCCUAUGGGUUGUAAACUUCUUUUAUAUGGGAAUAAAAUGUUCCACGUGUGGGAUUUUGUAUGUACCAUAUGAAUAAGGAUCGGCUAACUCCGUGCCAGCAGCCGCGGUAAUACGGAGGAUCCGAGCGUUAUCCGGAUUUAUUGGGUUUAAAGGGAGCGUAGGUGGAUUGUUAAGUCAGUUGUGAAAGUUUGCGGCUCAACCGUAAAAUUGCAGUUGAAACUGGCAGUCGUGAGUACAGUAGAGGUGGGCGGAAUUCGGGGUGUAGCGGUGAAAUGCUUAGAUAUCACGAAGAACUCCGAGUGCGAAGGCAGCUCACUGGACUGCAACUGACACUGAGGCUCGAAAGUGUGGGUAUCAAACAGGAUUAGAUACCCCUGUAGUC
rnacentral:rRNA from 1 species